CCUACGGGAGGCAGCAGUGAGGAAUAUUGGUCAAUGGGCGGGAGCCUGAACCAGCCAAGCCGCGUGAGGGAAGAAGGUACAGCGUAUCGUAAACCUCUUUUGUCAGGGAACAAAGGCGGGGACUAGUCCCCGGUUGAGGGUACCUGAAGAAAAAGCAUCGGCUAACUCCGUGCCAGCAGCCGCGGUAAUACGGAGGAUGCGAGCGUUAUCCGGAUUUAUUGGGUUUAAAGGGUGCGCAGGCGGCCUGUUAAGUCAGCGGUAAAAGCCCGGGGCUCAACCCCGGCGAGCCGUUGAUACUGGCGGGCGUGAGUUGGAGAGAAGUACGCGGAAUGCGUGGUGUAGCGGUGAAAUGCUUAGAUAUCGCGCAGAACCCCGAUUGCGAAGGCAGCGUACCGGCUCCACACUGACGCUGAGGCACGAAAGCGUGUGUAUCGAACAGGAUUAGAUACCCGAGUAGUC
rnacentral:rRNA from 1 species